rnacentral:rRNA from 1 species
AGUGAACGCUGGCGGUAGGCCUAGCACAUGCAAGUCGAACGGCAGCACAGUAAGAGCUUGCUCUUACGGGUGGCGAGUGGCGGACGGGUGAGGAAUACAUCGGAAUCUACUUUUUCGUGGGGGAUAACGUAGGGACACUUACGCUAAUACCGCAUACGACCUACGGGUGAAAGCAGGGGAUCUUCGGACCUUGCGCGAUUGAAUGAGCCGAUGUCGGAUUAGCUAGUUGGCGGGGUAAAGGCCCACCAAGGCGACGAUCCGUAGCUGGUCUGAGAGGAUGAUCAGCCACACUGGAACUGAGACACGGUCCAGACUCCUACGGGAGGCAGCAGUGGGGAAUAUUGGACAAUGGGCGCAAGCCUGAUCCAGCCAUACCGCGUGGGUGAAGAAGGCCUUCGGGUUGUAAAGCCCUUUUGUUGGGAAAGAAAAGCAGCAGGUUAAUACCCCGCUGUUCUGACGGUACCCAAAGAAUAAGCACCGGCUAACUUCGUG